rnacentral:lncRNA from 1 species
GACAGGUCUGUGAAGAGGCCAGUAGGAAUAUUACAUGAUGUAUUGGUAAAGGUGGCCAACUUUAUAUUUCCUAUUGACUUUGUAGUCUUUGACUGUGAUGUGGACUUUGAAGUGCCCAUUAUUAAGGGAUAUCAUUCAUACAGGGAAGGUAAUUUAGGCUAGAAGUGGACUAAUCUCAAAAUGGCCUAUGAUCCUUUCCUAACUCUAAUCCUACAACCAAGGCAAGACUAACCGGGCA